ACAUGCAAGUCGAGCGAACCAAUAAGAAGCUUGCUUUUUGUUGGUUAGCGGCGGACGGGUGAGUAACACGUGGGUAACCUGCCUGUAAGACCGGGAUAACCGGUGCUAAUACCGGAUAGAUUAUCUUUCCGCCUGGAGAGAUAAAGGAAAGAUGGCUUUUGCCCAUCACUUACAGAUGGGCCCGCGGCGCAUUAGCUAGUUGGGUGAGGUAACGGCUCACCAAGGCGACGAUGCGUAGCCGACCUGAGAGGGUGAUCGGCCACACUGGGACUGAGACACUGCCCAGACUCCCUACGGGAGGCAGCAGUAGGGAAUCUUCCGCAAUGGACGAAAGUCUGACGGAGCAACAACCGCGUGAGUGAAGAAGGUUCUUCGGAUCGGAAAGCUCUGUUGUUAGGGAAGAACAAGUAUCGGAGGAAAUGCCUGUACCUUGACGGUACCUGACGAGAAAGCCACGGCUAACUACGUGCCAGCAGCCGCGGAUUUACGUAGGUGGCAAGCGUUGUCCUGAAUUAUUGGGCGUAAAGCGCGCGCAGGCGGUCCUUUAAGUCUGAUGUGAAAUCUUGCGGCUCAACCGCAAGCGGUCAUUGGAAACUGGGGGACUUGAGUGCAGAAGAGGAAAGCGGAAUUCCACGUGUAGCGGUGAAAUGCGUAGAGAUGUGGAGGAACACCACAGGCGAAAACGCCGCUCUCGGCUCGGAAAACACACGCAGACGCGAAAAAGCGUGGGGAGCAAACAGGAUUUGAUACCCUGGUAGUCCACGCCGUAAACGAUGAGUGCUAAGUGUUGGAGGGUUUCCGCCCUUCAGUGCUGGCAUAAGGCAUUAAGCACUCCGCCUGGUGAGUACGGUCGCAAGACUGAAACUGAAACUCAAAGGAAUUGACGGGGGCCCGCACAAGCGGUGGAGCAUGUGGUUUAAUUCGAAGCAACGCGAAGAACCUUACCAGGUCUUGACAUCUCCUGACCGCCCUGGAGACAGGGUCUUCUUCGGGGACAGGAUGACAGGUGGUGCAUGGUUGUCGUCAGCUCGUGUCGUGAGAUGUUGGGUUAAGUCCCGCAACGAGCGCAACCCUUGGUUUUAGUUGCCAGCAUUGAGUUGGGCACUCUAGAGCGACUGCCGGCGACAAGUCGGAGGAAGGUGGGGAUGACGUCAAAUCAUCAUGCCCCUUAUGACCUGGGCUACACACGUGCUACAAUGGAUGGUACAAAGGGCAGCGAAGCGGCGACGCAUGAGCGAAUCCCAGAAAACCAUUCUCAGUUCGGAUUGCAGGCUGCAACUGCCUGCAUGAAGCCGGAAUCGCUAGUAAUCGCGGAUCAGCAUGCCGCGGUGAAUACGUUCCCGGGCCUUGUACACACCGCCCGUCACACCACGAGAGUUUGUAACACCCGAAGUCGGUGAGGUAACCGUAAGGAGCCAGCCGCCGGAGGUGGGACAGAUGAUUGGGGUGAAGU
rnacentral:rRNA from 1 species